rnacentral:tRNA from 3 species
GGGUGUAUAGAUCAGUUGGUAGAGCAUUGGGCUUUUAACCUAAUGGUUGCAGGUUCAAGUCCUGCUAUACCCA